GGGUCGUGCGUGUAGCGGAAAGUUCCAGUUGGCAACACUGCCAGGUGACAACAACAGCACGCGCCGAGGCCCGAGCAGCAUCCCUUCUGGCCCUGCCCAACCAGCCCCCUAAAACACCCCAGAAGAAGAAGACGACGAAGGCUCCACACCCACGGGCCAGCGCUGGGGACCUGCUGGCCAGCGACACAAUCAGCCCCAACACUGCCAGGACAACACCUCCACCACCGCCGCCGGGAAGUCUUAACCUUCUCAUGCAGCAGAAGUAGAGCUCUCACGGGCACGUCCACCCUCGACCACGACCACGGACCCUAGGCCGCCGGUGUGUGGAGGAAAAGAGAACAAGGAAAGAACGAGGACAACAACAACACACUCAGCCGCCGCAAAGGUUGGGGCCGCCUCACCUGCAGGGCUGGACAGCAGCAUGAGUGGCCAGGACAAGCAGGAGCAGACUGCUGCAGGGGGCAGGAGGGUCAGUGGUCACCAGAUGAAGCAACUUGCUGCUGGCAACUCCAGCAACAAAGGAGAGAGGAAGUUUGUGUGUCUGGAGUGUGGAAAAGAAUUCACCACAAGGGGAGGCCUCAGAUAUCACACCCUUACACACACUGGUGUGAAGAACUAUGAAUGUAAGGAAUGUGGGAAACAAUUCAUCCAGAAGAGUACCCUUGAUAGACACACCCUUACACACACUGGUGUGAAGAACUAUGAAUGUAAGGAAUGUGGGAAACUAUUCAUCCAGAAGAGUCACCUUGAUACACACACCCUUACACACACUGGUGUGAAGAACUAUGAAUGUAAGGAAUGUGGGAAAAAAUUCAUCCAGAAGGGUAACCUUGAUACACACACCCUUACACACACUGGUGUGAAGAACUAUGAAUGUAAGGAAUGUGGGAAAAAAUUCAUCCAGAAGGGUAACCUUGAUACACACACCCUUACACACACUGGUGUGAAGAACUAUGAAUGUAAGGAAUGUGGGAAAAAAUUCAGCCUGAAGAGUACCCUUGAUACACACACCCUUACACACACUGGUGUAAAAAGUCAUGAGUGUGAAGAGUGCGGGAAGAGGUUCAGUGUGAAGCAGGCACUCAAUGAACACGUCUUCAGGCACUAUGGCCUUAGAGAGUUCAAGUGUGAUGUUUGUGGAAAGCUCUUUAAGACAAAGAGAGACAUUGCCAGGCACAUGAAGAUCCACUUCUGAAGUGUGUCUGCCUACAGUAGUUAUAGUGACCAGGAAGGACAAGCAGGACCCGGACGGUGACAUCAUUAUGAGGCUUGAGUACGGUCUCCUGAACUCCUCGUCCCUGGAGCUGAUUGAGCAACCCACGUGUACCUCCCCAGUCUAAUGGUGAGCCUGGCGCCGCCCCUCGUGGUCUUCCAGCCUCCUCACCAGUGCAUCUUCCACUCCUCCGAGCUUGUGUAUAACUUGACCAACCAGUGAUGAGAGCGUGUGAAGCAGUUUGCCAACCUGGUCCUGGCCCUCAUGAUGCUGUUCGCCAGGUACAAUCACUGGAUGGUGGGCGACAAGUUUGAGAGACUCGCCCCCUCACUGGUGUUCUUCAUGCCAACCUGCCGGCUCAUCGCUGAGUACCAAAUCCACCGGAAGGAAAAGAUGGACAAGGCGGCGGCAGCGGCCAAGAAGUCACCCGCCGCAGCCGCCGAAGGGAAGGACGGAGGAACAGCCGCCAACUCCAUCGCUGGCGGCUCCACGUCUACUCUCGUCUCCUCCUCCUCAGUUGCCUCCGCCCUCUCCUCCUCGCCCUCCUCCUCCUCCUCAGUUGCCUCCGCCUCCUCCUCCUCCUCCUCUCAACAUGGACGGUCGAAAAAGGAUGUUUAGUGUGGAGGUGUUUGAUUGGGGUAUGUGGGUUGGUGUUUAUAAUUUCAUUUGUGUGUGUGUGUGUGUGUGUGUGUGUGUGUGUGCUACCCUUCCCUCCCUCCCUCGCCCCGAUGUUUGUCUCUAGGUGUUUGUAGGCAAUAAGAUGACCUUUCAACACACCUUCUUUCUUUCCUUUAUUCUUUUCCUCUUUACAACGUAAUUGUAAGUAUACGUAACCUUAAACUAAUGAAAUACAAGUUACGUGAACCCUACCCUCGAGAUAUGUUAUUUUGAUCUCUGUACGUAUAGGCAAGAUUACGUCUCUUAAACUAACGAUAUAUAAGUUAUGUCAACCUUAACCUGCGAGGUGUUUGUAUAAGUAACUUCAAUUCACUGGUAUGUUUGUAUAAGUAACCUCAAUUCACUGGUAUGUUUGUAUAAGUAACCUCAAUUCACUGGUAUGUUUGUAUAAGUAACUUCAAUUCACUGGUAUGUUUGUAUAAGUAACCUCAAUUCAUUUCAUAUGUUGUAUGUUACUGUGAUCUCUAUGUAUAGUGAAGAUUACAUCCUUUA